rnacentral:rRNA from 1 species
CUACGAGUACCCCGAGCGUUAUCCGGAAUCAUUGGGCGUAAAGGAUGCGUAGGCGGUUGUAUUAGUCUUCUGUUAAAGCCCGAGGCUCAACCUCGGAUCUGCAGAGGAAACGGUACAACUAGAGGAUGUGAGAGGUGUGCGGAACUUAUAGUGUAGGGGUGAAAUCCGUUGAUAUUAUAGGGAACACCAAAUACGAAGGCAGCACACUGGCACAUUCCUGACGCUGAGGCAUGAAAGCGUGGGUAGCGAAAGGGAUUAGAUACCCUGGUAGUCC